AUUGAACGCUGGCGGCAUGCUUUACACUUGCAAGUCGAACGGUAACAGGCCGCAAGGUGCUGACGAGUGGCGAACGGGUGAGUAAUGCAUCGGAACGUGCCCAGUCGUGGGGGAUAACGCAGCGAAAGCUGCGCUAAUACCGCAUACGAUCUCUGGAUGAAAGCGGGGGACCGAAAGGCCUCGCGCGAUUGGAGCGGCCGAUGUCAGAUUAGGUAGUUGGUGGGGUAAAGGCCCACCAAGCCAACGAUCUGUAGCUGGUCUGAGAGGACGACCAGCCACACUGGGACUGAGACACGGCCCAGACUCCUACGGGAGGCAGCAGUGGGGAAUUUUGGACAAUGGGCGCAAGCCUGAUCCAGCAAUGCCGCGUGCAGGAAGAAGGCCUUCGGGUUGUAAACUGCUUUUGUACGGAACGAAACGGUCCGGGUUAAUACCCUGGGCUAAUGGCGGUACCGUAAGAAUAAGCACCGGCUAACUACGUGCCAGCAGCCGCCGUAACAC
rnacentral:rRNA from 1 species